AAGACGACACAAAGCAUAGACAGGUAGUAUGUCGACUUAAUUUUGGCACAAAUGGAACCCCAUAAGGGAGGACUGGCUGGUGUGUUUGCUGCUGUACUUCCCUCUGAAAAGUUUGCGACUUUUUAAGGAGGUUCUGACCCGCACCGUAGUGCUGCAGAAAGCUGCCAGGCUUCAUGUAUCUAGGUGACUGAUCUCCUGCGUUGCAGUGAGCCGAGUUAAAGUUAAGUAACCAGUUUGUUUGUUUUAAAAGGAGGAACAUACUGUACAAGGUGUGUCCGUCUGGAGAUUUUAAAAGUGAAACUUUUUUUUUUUUUUUAGUUUUUUUAAAGUGAAAGAAAGAGACAGUCGAGGCUGAAACUUGAGCAACACUAUGCUGGGGAAUGGUCGAGUAUACGCGGUGAAGAGGAGGAAGAAGCCCGUUCUGAAAAGUGUGAAGCCUCCGCCCGUGAAGACCAAUCCGUCUAAGCGCCACCGGGACCGUCUGAACGGAGAGCUGGAAUGCCUCACCAGCAUGCUGCCGUUCUCCGACGAGUUCAGAAGUCGCCUGGACAAACUCUCUGUGCUCCGGCUCAGUGUGGGCUACCUAAAGGUUAAGAGUUACUUCCACGCAGCGCUCCAGAAGCACACGAGGUCGGCUUCUCUUGCGUCUGCAAACGGCAGAAAUGGGCCGUCGGUGUCUCUGGAUGGAGUCAGUUUCUCAGAGGGGGAACUCCUUCUCCAGGCUUUAAAUGGCUUCGUGUUGGUCGUGACGAGUGAUGGCACGAUCUUUUACGCAUCUCCGACCAUCCAGGACUUCCUCGGCUUCCAUCAGUCGGAUGUGGUCCAGCAGAGUGUUCAUGAUCUCGUUCACAUGGACGACAGAGAGAUGUUCAAAUGUCAGCUCCACUUCGCCCUCAACCCAGGCGACACGCACUCAGACAUCAGAGCAGAAGAUAGGCAGUCGAGCAGUAAAGCUGCGAGCAGCUCUGUGCGCUUGUUGCCUCAGUACAUCCCUCCAGAGAACUCCUCUUUCAUGGAAAGAAGCUUCUGCUGUCGCCUUCGCUGCCUCCUGGACAACACCUCUGGAUUCCUGGCUCUAAACUUCACCGGACGUCUGAAGUUCCUGCAUUUGCAGGGAAACACAGGGGCUGAUGGGAUCGCUGCUCCCCCUCAGCUGGCUCUGUUUGCCAUCGCCACUCCUCUGCAGCCUCCUUCAGUCAUGGAGAUCCGGACUAAGACUCUCAUCUUCCAGACUAAACACAGCAUGGACUUUGCUCCUGUGGGCAUAGACACCAGAGGGAAACUGGUUUUAGGAUAUUCCGAAACAGAGUUGGUCACAACAGGCUCUGGCUAUCAGUUCAUCCACGCUGCUGACAUGAUGUACUGCGCUGACAACCACCUUAAGAUGAUGAAGACUGGAGAAAGUGGCUUCACCUUCUUCAGGCUGCUGAUCAAAACAGGACGCUGGUUGUGGGUUCAGGCCAACGCCAGGGUCGUCUUCAAGGACGGGAGACCAGACUUCAUCAUCGCUCGUCAGAAAGCCCUCACAAACGAAGAAGGAGAGGAACACUUGCACCAGAGAAGAAAGCAGCUCCCGUUCAACCUCACCACCGGCGAAGGUGUCCUGUACGACGUUUCUCUGGAGUCCAUCCCUGGUCCCCCUGGCUCCGGCACGCCGGGCACCACAGAGCCCACAACAGAGAACCCUCUGGACCCCGCCUCCCUCCUGGGAUGCCUUCUCAGGCAGGACCACUCUAUUUACACCCAGCCACCGAAACCCAGUGCCCCCCUCCCAAUCUUCACCCAAAUAGAGGACCCUGAUUUUGAACAACCGCAGCCGUCCUUGGAGCAAGCCUUCCUGGACAGCCACGCUCUGCUCAGCGUGCCGGGCCAGAUCCAGGCCUCACAGAAGAGGUCGGUCACGGGGGACCGCACAACAGAGGCCAUGAUUGACUCGUUGGAGCAGAUUUUGGGGGAUAUCGGGGAUGGAGGGAUAGAGGGUCUUGAAGUUGAGGAGAGAGAGCUGAGGGACUGGGAGAAGACCCUCGUCAGGAUGAAUGAAGAGAGGGAAGAUGUAUCGAGGAAACUGGAUCAAAUUCUGGCCAAUGACGUGUUCUCAUAUGUGGAGGAGGCUCUGAGGAAAGAGACUGGAGGGUAUGUGCAGGACUCCAAUUUUCUGGGUUCAGCUUCUGGGUCGAUUAACAGUUUAUCCAUGCAAGGACAGCAUCCUGGGUCUGUGUUUUCAAACAAUGAGUGGCAGCAAGUGACGGACAUGACAUCUGGCUUCGCAGAGCACGCUCUGUCGGGAGAUGUCCCUGGUGGCGUUGGUUGUUCGACUGGACUGAAAGGUGCUUCUCAUUUUGUGCCUCACACUCAGUGUCUUAACGCUCACCAGGGACACGCCUCUUCCCUGUGGCCUCCAAGCAGCGAUCACCACUGUGGCAACCAAAUGACUUCAACACAACCCUCCCACGCUGAAGUGACACAACACUCGUGGCUUCCAUCUGUUCAAAACACCAACAACUUCCAUAACAGCAGCCAUCAAUCUUGCUUGAACCAAAGCGUACAGUACACGCUAACGAGUUCACAUCAGACUUGCAUAGGGCCACAGCUUCAGAGCCCGUCGGCGUGGCAACAACAGCAGCAGCUGCCGCAGAGUUUUCACCAUCACACGCUGACACAUUCCUCGCACACACCAGGCGGCGUGAACUCAACGCCUCAGUCGUUCCACCCGGAAACGCGGAGCCCGUACGGCAGCUGCGUGUAUGAAAAAAGAGAAGGUCGCAUACCGAACGCUGCUACUGUUCCUAUCGGACAGAACGGGCCUCUCCGGGGACCUUCGUGCUCCGGAGGAACCACAAACGCUCCCUUUUCCGUGCCCCAUCCAGGCACGGCGGUCGGAGUCUUCAACCAGGGGACGAUGCAGUCGUCUGCGGCUGGCUGUACAGAUGUGGGCAACAUCGGCUUAGUUCACCCGAGUGGAGACAGCUGUGGCCUGGGAACAGCUCGAUCAGGAUAUCCUCCUGAAAACGUAUCAUAACAGUCGCCAUUCUUCUGAAGGAACGAUGAAGCUCAGAUCCCCAAAGUUCCCCCUGAAUGGUGCAGUUGACCCGUUUGCCUUCCCUGUCCUCCCUACUGGGAGCAUCAACCUUUCCCAAAAACACUGGCUCAUAGCCGCCUCUGCACCUCGCUCAGAGACUCCGACUGGACUGAGAGCCGAGCGCGAGCAUGACGGGGAGUUUCCCUUCUGCGAUACUCAUGAUAUUUUAUAGAUGUUGUGUCUGCUGUGGCUCAGCAAGAAAUAUGAACCUUCUCAUUUCAAACUAAAAUACUUUUGCUGCAUUAAAGUAUUUUUUUUUUCUGGAAUUUUCGACAGAAAUAUUUAUCAAACAACCUUAACCAAUAAUGAGCUUUGUGCACAUAUUCAUGCCGCAAGUAACCAACAAUGUUGUGAAGUGUCCUGUCAGCUGAUUGGAAUCUGGACCCAGCAAGAUUUUAGCAAGUGGACUUGAAGAAAUCCUGACUACAAUCUAUUAUAUCACAUAAAAGUGUGAGGAAUAAAAGGACACGUGCUCUUAUAGAACUUUUCCUGUACAUCACAAUGUGAAUCUGUGAACUUUGUGUUGUUCUGUAAUGUCAUUGUGGUUCUUUUUUUAUAUUAUUUUUUUUGGCAUUUUAGGCCUUUAUUUUUUAUAAGAGACCUGAAGACAUGAAAGGGGAGAGAGAAGGGGAACGACAUGCAGCAAAGGGACGCAGGUUAGUCGAACCUGCUGGGCGCGCGCUCUACCAGAAACAGAUGAUAUGGGAGAGAUGGCAGCUGUCAUGCUCAGUGUGAACUGAUCUGAAUUUAGAAGUUUGACUCUAUACGUGCUUUAUAUUUCAGUUUUAAUCCAUCUCGGCUCUAUCAAAGAACUUUAAUAUGAUUUGCCUUGUCAAGUAUAUCAUAUUCAUGCAUUUCUGCGUGUUGGAGAUGGACAUAUUAUUAUGCUUCUGUAAUUAUCAGUAAUGUUACACUCUGUAGCUGCUUUGUAUUCCCUUUCUACAAGACAUAUAUAACCAUUGGGGACAAGUCUAAUUUAUUUUGCAAUUAAAGAACUGUGACCCCUCUGUUA